rnacentral:rRNA from 1 species
GGGUGCGAUUAUACCAGCACUAAUGCACCGGAUCCCAUCAGAACUCCGCAGCUAAGCGUGCUUGGGGAUGAGUAGUACUACGAUGGGUGACCUCCUAGGAAGUCCUCGUAUUGCACCCC